rnacentral:rRNA from 1 species
AUAUCAGUCAUGCAUAGCAUAUCAAUAAGCGGAGGAAAAGAAACUAACAAGGAUUCCCCUAGUAACUGCGAGUGAAGCGGGAAGAGCUCAAAUCUGAAAUCUUAAAAGGUUUUCCUUUUACGAAUUGUAGUUUAAAGAAGUGUUUUCUGUUGAAAUUUUAGUAAAAGUUCUUUGGAAUAGGACAUCAUAGAGGGUGAGAAUCCCGUAUUUGACUAGAAUUUUUCAACUUUGUGAUACACUUUCAAAGAGUCGGAUUGUUUGGGAAUGCAGUCCAAAAUGGGUGGUAAAUUUCAUCUAAAGCUAAAUAUUGGCGAGAGACCGAUAGCGAACAAGUACCGUGAGGGAAGAGAUGAAAAGAACUUUGAAAAGAGAGUUAAAUAGUACGUGAAAUUGUCAAAAGGGAAGCGUUUGGCACCAGUGUUGUUUUUCUAAAAAUCAAUUUAAAAUUUGACUUAUGUUAAGUAUUUUUAGACUUUAAUCAGGCUAAUAUAUUUAGUUUUUUGUAAUUUUUGAAUGCACUUUUUAGUUAACAAGUCAACAUCAAUUUCUUUUGUUGUAAAAAGAAUAAGAGGAAGGUGGCUUGGGAUUUAGUUUCAAGUGUUUAUAGCCUUUUAUUUAUGCAAUAGGAGGGAUUGAGGUCUGCAGCAUAGAUCCUUCGGGGCUAGAUGCAUUUGUCGCUAGGAGUCCAGUAUUAUAUAAACAACUUGUUGAUUAUAGUAGUAUGUUGAUUUUCUACUCGGCAGGUGUUAUUUUACCUACGCUUAGGAUGUUGAUCUACAGAGCGAGAGU